GCAAAAUGGCGGUUUUUGCAUGAUUAUGGCGGUUUAAAACCGCCCUUCUCUGGGGCCAUGAUUUAAAAAUACCCACACACUAUCUGAUUCCAACCCUAAUUGAAGAACUAACGCGCUGCCGCAUACACUGUUUCUGUAAGGUAACGACGCCUACCACUGGGAUCUACUCCGGCGCGAUCUGCUCCAGCGACAACUUUCUCCACUAAGGAUCUCCUCAGCGGCGUUCUCCUCCGACUAGAAUCUCCUCGCCGUUCACCGCCAUCGUUCAUCUCCUCGCUGCUGCCUUCAAUGAGCUUCUACGAUCUUGUUCUGGCUUCGAUCUAAAGGUUAGCCAUCGCUGCUCAUCUCCCUUGCUGCUUCAUUUAUCACCUCGCCGCCGCAAGCAACAUUGUUGCUACUUUAGCGAGCUUCGACAAAUCUCUUCACUUUUGUGAUUACGUCCUUGCUCUCACCGUCGAGAACUUCCUCGAGCGCCACCUCCAGACUCUCGUCUUCAAUCCCAGCAUGGCAAAGUCAAUCCACCACGCCAGAUAGAUGAGAGAUAGGCUUAUACUAGAGAAGGUGAAUGCAGCAAUCAAUGACAUGGCAUCCUAUGCUGAAGCAAAUGCUUACAUUAGAGAAGUUGAAGCUUUCUGAUGCAUUUAUGGAACUCUUAUCGCAACAACAUUUUCAAUGGAGAGAAGUGAUGAAUCUGAAAGUGAUUAGUGUUGCAUUUGAGAAGGGGAGAGUGAUGUGAAUGACAACCCUAAUCUCUUGUCGCCGUUCAUCUUCCACCUCUCUCAUACAUCUCUUUGCUACCGCUUGUUGCACCUCAUCUCCUCGCCAGCUUCGCCGCUGCAAACAAUGUCACUGUUGCUGCCUUGAACGAGUUCUGCAAUUUGGUUGCGCCUUCUCUGUCACUUCCAAUAGGGAUGCAAAUACUGUAUUUGAUGCUGUAGAGUUUGUACUCCAAAAUUUCACAGAAAUGAACAAACUUUGGGUGCGGAUGCAACAUCAGGGGCCUGUCCAGGAGAAGGAGAAACGGGAGAAAGAAAGAGUUGGGAAGAAUCUCCAUGUUCUCAGUCAGAUAGAGGGUGUUGAUCUUGAUAUGUACAAAGAUAUUGUGCUUCCCAGAGUAUUAGAGCAGGUUGUAAAUUGCAAAGAUGAGUUGGCCCAGUUUUACUUGAUGGAUUGCAUAAUUCAAGUCUUCCCUGAUGAGUAUCACUUGCAAACUCUUGAUGUAUUGUUGGGUUCAUGCCCUCUGCUUCAGAGGUAUAUGCUGCAAGAGAGAAGAACAGAAUCUAUAUACCACGUGAUCGUUAUCUUAGUGAAGAAGCAGAGAAGAAGGCCAUGGCUGAAAAGAUAGAACGCAUGGAACUAGAGGCAGACUCUAAAGAUAAGCAACUUUUGACUACACAGUUAAGUGAUAAACUUGAAAAAACUGAGAAAAAUCUGGAAGAAACUGAACGGUCAUUAGUUGAUCUUGAGGAAAGA